rnacentral:rRNA from 1 species
UACGUAGGGGGCAAGCGUUGUCCGGAUUUAUUGGGCGUAAAGCGCUCGCAGGUGGUUCGUUGCGUCGUGCGUGAAAGACCCCGGCUCAACUGGGGAGGGUCGUGCGAUACGGGCGAACUGGAGGCCAGUAGGGGGAUGCGGAAUUCCGGGGUGUAGUGGUGGAAUGCGUAGAGAUCCGGAGGAACACCAGCGGCGAAGGCGGCAUCCUGGACUGGUCCUGACACUCAUGAGCGAAAGCGGUGGGGAGCGAGUACCGG